rnacentral:rRNA from 1 species
CCUACGGGUGGCUGCAGUGGGGGAUAUUGCACAAUGGGGGAAACCCUGAUGCAGCGACGCCGCGUGGGUGAAGAAGCGCCUCGGCGCGUAAAGCCCUGUCAGCAGGGAAGAAAAUGACGGUACCUGAAGAAGAAGCCCCGGCUAACUACGUGCCAGCUGCCGCGGUAAUACGUAGGGGGCAAGCGUUAUCCGGAUUUACUGGGUGUGAAGGGGGCGCAGACGGCGAUGCAAGCCAGGAGUGAAAGGCCGGGGGCCAACCCCGGGACUGCUCUUGGUACUGCGUGGCUAGAGUGCAGGAGGGGCAGGCGGAAUUCCUGGUGUAGCGGUGAAAUGCGUAGAUAUCAGGAGGAACACCGGUGGCGAAGGCGGCCUGCUGGACUGCAACUGACGUUGAGGCCCGAAAGCGUGGGGAGCAAACAGGAUUAGAUACCCUGGUAGUC